rnacentral:tRNA from 1 species
GCUGUGAUGGCCGAGUGGUUAAGGCGUUGGACUCGAAAUCCAAUGGGGUCUCCCCGCACAGGUUCAAAUCCUUUUCACAGCG